rnacentral:rRNA from 1 species
UACGUAGGUGGCAGGCGUUAUCCGGAAUUAUUGGGCGUAAAGAGCGCGCAGGUGGUUAAUUAAGUCUGAUGUGAAAGCCCACGGCUUAACCGUGGAGGGUCAUUGGAAACUGGUUGACUUGAGUGCAGAAGAGGGAAGUGGAAUUCCAUGUGUAGCGGUGAAAUGCGUAGAGAUAUGGAGGAACACCAGUGGCGAAGGCGGCUUCCUGGUCUGUAACUGACGCUGAGGUUCGAAAGCGUGGGUAGCAAACAGG